rnacentral:tRNA from 1 species
UGGCUCAGUUGGUAGAGCAUGGUGUUUGCAACGCCAGUGUUGUGGGUUCGUUUCCCAC